UUCAACAUAAUAAUUAAAAGUGAAAAGUGUAAGUCCCAUUUUUCCAGUUUUAUGCGUGUUGGGCCUGGCCUCUUCGUAGGUUCAAGACCAGCCCUUCCAGGGGGACCCAAUACCCCUUCCAACUCACUCAUUCCUCACUUUUCUGUUCCAGAGCUGCUCCUCUUCUUCAAACACUCUUGGCUGAAGCAAGAGUUCUGCUAGGGCAUAAGUUCAAUUCUUUUCCAGCUAGCUUCUCAGCUUAAUAUCCUCAGGUUGCUCCAGAAUCACGUUUACUCUUGCUUGGGUUACCUAUCCUUGUGCUAGUGUCUAAAAAGAUGGAAAGAGCACUGGAAGUGGAUCUGCUGGUGGUAGCGGUGCUGUGUAGCUUGGACUAGUUACCUGUAGCUCCUAAUAGUAGUCUUUAAGGCUUUAAUGCCCUCCUCUUUUGUGGUUUCUUGUUCUAGGAGCGAUCCUUUUGUAAGGCAAUUAACGUUCAGACUUUGCUUCGUCUUUGGCAUGGUUGUAUGUCUACGUUUCCUUUUAAGUACUCCUAUGGACAACUG